GCAAGUCAAGGAGACAUUUACCUUCGGGUAAAUCGAUAUUGUCGCACGGGUGAGUAACACGUGGAUUAUCUACCCUUUACACAGACAUAACUCAGGGAAACUUGAGCUAAUAUCUGAUGAGGCCUCCGGGUCAAAGCUUCGGCGGUAAAGGAUGAGUCUGCGUCUGAUUAGCUAGUUGGUAAGGUAAUGGCUUACCAAGGCGACGAUCAGUAACUGGUCUGAGAGGACGAUC
rnacentral:rRNA from 1 species